GCGCACACGCGGAUACUAUUAUGAGCAUCCAAAUACAUUCUUAGCUAGAUAGUAUCUGAACGAUUACGAGUUGAACAUGUAAUAUCAUUCCUGAUUGUAUCCGCGCGUGUGC